UGCCUACUUAUCUGAAAAAGACUAUCAUGUGGUACAUACUUUUGUAUUGUUGAAUUGCGAAGAAGUACUACCUUUUGAAAGGAUUUUUGAUGAACAAGUAUACAACAUGUAUGGUGACGUAAAUGACGAGGAAUUGACCAAAAUUAAAGAAAAAGGGUUUGCUACAUGGUUAAAAGAAUAUAUUCGAACGUCACCAGAAGAUCAUCCAUUGUGGUUGCAUGAGCUAGUUCAAGGGCCCAUUUGUCGUGUUACAUGUUGGCCUAUAUUUUUUACCAGAGGCUACGUUUUCCACACACAUGAACACGGACAACAUCGUUCGACACAUAAUUUUGGUGUUUCUGUGAAAGGGUCAGAGUACUGUGCAUCUGAUAACGAACCCGAUUUUUACGGACUACUGCAGCAGAUUUUUGAACUCCAAUAUGCAGGUCAUUUUGGACUCAAAGUGAUGAUGUUCAGGUGUGAUUGGUUUGAUCCUACACCCAUGCGAGGGAUCAGAGUCAACAAAACAGGUGUUUUUGACAUAUGUUACACACGUCGAUACGGAAAAUAUGAUCCUUUUAUAUUGGCUUCUCAAGCAGAUCAAGUGUGUUACAUCCCUUAUCCGAAGAAAAUUACAAGAAGGUCAGACAUUGAUUGGCGAGCCGUCGUGAAGAUCAACCCCAGGGGAACUAUUAUUC